CAGAUCUGCGCAGUGGUUUAGUUCUUCCUGUUCUCUUUUGCUGUGCUGUAUUUACCUCAGAUUACAGAACACGGAAGCAACAGUUCCUUCAAACCAUUUGCCUGUACUAAAAAGACUUCUGGCAGGUACCGUGGGCCAAGCAGGGGCCCCAGGCGUGGAGUCCCAGGAUCUAAGAGGCCAUUUCAUCGAGGAGAGAUGAGCAAAGGAAAAGCCAAGGGGCAGGAGAACAUGCACAGUUCUCUUCUCAGCAGCCAGGAGAAUGAACGCCUGGUAGAGCUGCUGGGAAGGAGAUGCAUGACCAUGGCCACGACAGUUGUUCAGUUGUACAUGGCUCUUCCUAACAGUCCGACCCAAUGGAGUCUCCAACAUACAGGAGUUGUGUGUUUCAUUAAGGACAAUCCUAAACGUUCAUAUUACAUCCGACUCUAUGACAUAAAGGAAGGGAAAAUGGUUUGGGAGCAGGAGCUGUAUAAUCAGAUGACAUAUUCCUGUCCAAUGAGGUUCUUUCACAGUUUUGCAGCUGAUGACUGUCAAGUAGGUUUGAACUUUGCCAGUGAGACAGAAGCUGAUUUUUUCAGAAACGUAAUUGUGGAGAAGAUUAACCAGAGAUCCAACCGCCAGGAAAAAAGACAGCAUGCUCCGUCUCAAGAAAACCUGCCACUACAACAAACCUCUCCAAAAAAUGGUCCAGUUUCACAGCCAAGUGUAAUGCCCACAGUGGACAUCCAGAACCCUGAUAUUGUGGCAUCAAGGUACCGCUCCACCCCAGUGCCAGUCCCCGCACCAGCCUCACUUUCCAUUGGCAAAAAGGACAAAAAGGGAAAGAAGAAAGGCCCUAAACUCACUAAGGCAGAUAUAGGAGCACCUAGUGGAUUUAAACAUAUCACUCAUGUUGGGUGGGAUCCAAACUCUGGUUUUGAUACCAACAAUCUUGACCCUGACCUGAAGAAACUGUUCAACAGUGCUGGUAUCAGUGAUGCCCAGCUGGCAGACAAAGAAACAUCUAAGAUCAUCUAUGACUUCAUCGAGCAAUCUGGAGGCCUGGACGCAGUAAAAGAGGAAAUGAGGAAACAGGAUCCUCGUUCUGCUCCUGCACCUCCUCCACCUCGUGGCGGGCUUCCCCCAGUCCCAGGUCCACCUGGACGUCCUGCACCACCUUCACGCAGCCCUGGACCCCCGCAUCGUGGUCCACCACCACCUGCACCACCUGGAGGCCGUCCUGGGCCUCCACCCCCUAUGCCUUCUUCACUUCCGCCACCACCACCCCCCUGCCAAGGUCACAGGCCACUUCCUCCACCUAUGGGUGGAGGUGCACCGCCUCCACCUCCGCCCCCACCUCCUCCUCCACCACCACCUUCUUCAACAGGCAACGUCCCUAGUAGCCCUGCCACCUCAGCACCACCUCCUUCUCCUUCCUCUGGUGGUGGAGGACGAGGAACCUUACUGGAGGAAAUUCGGCGUGGACGUGUGCUAAAGAAUGUGUCUGACUCCCCGGACCCAAAUCCUCCAGGUCAAGAGGAAUCCUCAGGGGGAAUUGUGGGAGCUCUGAUGAUGGUGAUGCAGAAAAGGAGUAAAGUCAUCCAUUCCUCAGGAGAUGAAGACGAUGAUGGGGGUGAUGAAGAUGAAGAAGAUGAAUGGGAUGAGUAAUGCUUCUCUCUGCUCUUGGUUCACACAUUUAUGCCAUCCAAUUCAGCAAAAUGAGCUUUCACUUCACAGUAGCUCAGCGCGAGUUCAUUCAGGAAGACGGAACUGUAGUUGAGCCAAACCAAACCAAACAUAGGACUGCCAAGCCUAACCACAGGUUUAUGUUGGAUAUUUCCUUCUGUGUGCACAUGCUUUUGACUCAUCAAUGGUCUAAUUCCAAAUCUGACUUCUUUACAAACCCAGUAAUGUUUUUUUUUUCUUGUCAAGUUCUAUGUAGUUUUCUGAAGCUGGACAAUGUUCUGUGCAUCUGUUGACUGCACACAACAUUCCCCUGCAGGACAAAUGUGGAACU